rnacentral:rRNA from 1 species
GAUCCUGGCUCAGGAUGAACGCUAGCUACAGGCUUAACACAUGCAAGUCGAGGGGAAACGAUAUUGGAAGCUUGCUUCCGAUAGGCGUCGACCGGCGCACGAGUGAGUAACGCGUAUCCAACCUGCCCACCACUUGGGGAUAACCUUGCGAAAGUAAGACUAAUGCCCAAUGAUAUCCCACGAAGGCAUCCGAAUGGGAUUAAAGAUUUAUCGGUGAUGGAUGGGGAUGCGUCUGAUUAG